rnacentral:rRNA from 1 species
CCCUUAGAUGUCCUGGGCCGCACGCGCGCCACACUGAGUGUCUGAGAUACGAGUCUGCCUAGCCGGCGAGGUCUAGGUAAUCGCUGAAAGACACAUCAUGCUUGGGAUAGAUUAUUGCAGAUAUUAAUCUUGAACGAGGAAUUCCUAGUAAGCGCAAGUCAACAGCUUGCGUUGAUUACGUCCCUGCCCUUUGUACACACCGCCCGUCGCUACUACUGAUUGGAUGUUUAAGCGAGGUUCUCGAACUGCUAGCGACUUAGCUUCGGUGAGGUCGCCGUGUGGGAAGUGAACCUAGCUUUGGUGUCUAGAGGAAGUAAAAGUCGUAACA